rnacentral:rRNA from 1 species
UACGAAGGGGGCUAGCGUUGCUCGGAAUGACUGGGCGUAAAGGGCGCGUAGGCGGCGUUCGACCGUCGGAUGUGAAAUUACCUGGGCUUAACCUGGGGGCUGCAUUCGAUGACGUCGGUGCUGGAGUAGGGAAGAGGGUCGUGGAAGUUCCCAGUGGUAGAGGUGGAAAUUCGUAGAUAGUUGGGAAGAACACCGGUGGCGAAGGCGGCGAGCCUG